GUGCACGCUGGCGGUAGGCCUAACCCCUGCCAGUCGCACGGCAGCACAGUAAGAGCUUGCUCUUACGGGUGGCGAGUGGCGGACGGGUGAGGAAUACAUCGGAAUCUACUUUUUCGUGGGGGAUAACGUAGGGAAACUUACGCUAAUACCGCAUACGACCUACGGGUGAAAGCAGGGGAUCUUCGGACCUUGCGCGAUUGAAUGAGCCGAUGUCGGAUUAGCUAGUUGGCGGGGUAAAGGCCCACCAAGGCGACGAUCCGUAGCUGGUCUGAGAGGAUGAUCAGCCACACUGGAACUGAGACACGGUCCAGACUCCUACGGGAGGCAGCAGUGGGGAAUAUUGGACAAUGGGCGCAAGCCUGAUCCAGCCAUACCGCGUGGGUGAAGAAGGCCUUCGGGUUGUAAAGCCCUUUUGUUGGGAAAGAAAAGCAGCAGGUUUAUACCCCGCUGUUCUGACGGUACCCAAAGAAUAAGCACCGGCUAACUUCGUG
rnacentral:rRNA from 1 species